AGUGAACGCUGGCGGCGUGCUUAACACAUGCAAGUCGAACGAGAACGGGUUAUAGCUUGCUAUAAUUGUCAGCUAAGUGGCGCACGGGUGAGUAAUGUAUAGGUAAUAUGCCUCUUACUAAAGGAUAACAAAUGGAAACGUUUGCUAAUACCUUAUACUCCUUAUUAACAGAAGUUAAUAAGGGAAAGAUUUAUUGGUAAGAGAUUAGCCUGUAUUGUAUCAGUUAGUUGGUGGGGUAAUGGCUUACCAAGACUAUGACACAUAACUGGUUUGAGAGGAUGAUCAGUCACACUGGAACUGAUACACGGUCCAGACUCCUACGGGAGGCAGCAGUGGGGAAUAUUGCACAAUGGACGAAAGUCUGAUGCAGCAACGCCGCGUGGAGGAUGACACAUUUCGGUGCGUAAACUCCUUUUAUAUGAGAAGAUAAUGACGGUAUUAUAUGAAUAAGCACCGGCUAACUCCGUGCCAGCCGCCGCCGUAA
rnacentral:rRNA from 1 species